CCACUGCCGAGGAGUCCGACAACAGGACGAAACGGCCGUCCAGUGC
rnacentral:hammerhead_ribozyme from 1 species